rnacentral:rRNA from 1 species
UACGUAGGGGGCAAGCGUUGUCCGGAAUCAUUGGGCGUAAAGCGCGCGUAGGCGGCCCUGUAAGUCCGCUGUAAAAGUCAAAGGCUCAACCUUUGAAAGCCGGUGGAUACUGCAGGGCUAGAGUCCGGAAGAGGCGAGUGGAAUUCCUGGUGUAGCGGUGAAAUGCGCAGAUAUCAGGAGGAACACCAAUGGCGAAGGCAGCUCGCUGGGACGGUACUGACGCUGAGACGCGAAAGCGUGGGGAGCAAACAGG